CUGGCACAAGAUAUGUAUUAUAUAUAAAAACAGAAUCCCAUAGAAUAGUCGCUUACCCUUUAGAGGUACUUUAUCUUUUGGGCUUGGAGCUUUACAACAGCAUGUAUAGGUCACACAUAGACGGUUUUCAAGUUGGCUAAUACACAGAAUUUAUAUUUGUCACAUAUUUGGUAGAGAAGUAAAGAUUCCAAUCUCUGUUUGCUGGUUUGUGCGAAAAGCAUAGGUGCCAGUAAAUCAAUGCCACAUAUCUUAAUCCAACUGCACUUAUAGUAACAUUCUGGUUAGGUCUUGGACACAGGUGUAGACUUUAGUUACCCGGAAAAUGCUCUCUCUCACUGGAGACAGUCUCUCCUCUGUCUUUAGGGCUAAGAUAUUCAGGCAGACUUCCAUGAAGCCCUGUUCUCAGAACUGUGGUAUGCAAACAAACCACAAAGUAUAGCCAGUAUCCCUUGUAUUGGUCUCUCGAAUAUACAAACAGACUUCCCACACAGUAAUUAGCGAUGGUAUUCUUUCCUGUUCUCAGGAAUGUGGUUUACAGGAAGACUUCUGUUCCAUUAUCUACUCUCUUAUUUAGCUCCUAAAUUCCCUGAACAUAGACCUGCUCUCUAGUGCAUGUGAGACUUUGUUGUCGCACUGGUGUGAGGCAUCCUCACUUACCAAUUGACUCGUUUUACAACCUAGUCGUAGGAAUGGAACUCUGUCAGUAAGUGACAAGUGCCAG